CACCCCUCUUCAUACAACAAAUGUGGCGAUUUGUGGAACAGUGAAUGAUUUUUAGGGGAAAAUGAAUGGACUUGGAGAACAUACGAUGGCCUGGGACAAAACGUGUUGUGACUGGAGAUCAGGCAAUUGUUUGUGACAAAAGUGUACCCAGGGGUGUUGAUGGACUUCGGUCUUUCUUCCUGUGAUAUGAGUGCAGUUAAUGAAACUCAGGGAAGGCAGUUGUGUUCUUUUGGCCAGUCUGGUUUCUAGGAAGAUAAAGGAUCCUCAGAGAACAACUUCAUUCUGUUCCUUGGGAGAGACAAAACAUUGAGAAAUGGGGGUGAGGGGUAGGUCAGAGAGACCUUGGGAUCGCUUCUUCAAUCCAGCAUGUCAAAGGGCCAUAUGUUGGAGUUCAGGUUUCUGAGACACAACACUUCCUGUUGUAGCAGCAGAAAAGGAGUGAUCCGUUUCCUCCCUGUCAUAGGGGUCAAAACGGACACCUCUGAAACAAAGACAGAUUAACAAGAGAAAAGCCCAACAAAUAUAUUCGACCACAGCUUUACAAUACACAGGAGCCUUCGGAAUGAAGACCCAAAGACCCAAGAAAAAGUCCGAGAGGGCAACGCCAUGGGGCUGAGCUGCUCAAUGCCCUCCCAGUGCAUCCUGCUGCAAGGAUGCCCCCCAGGAUGCUGCCUCACCUAACCAGCCGCUCCAGGAGUGGCCCCCAGCCCCCACCCCAUGGAGCUUCGACUUCCUGGUGACCAGUGCUCCAGUAACCUCUAAGUGCUUGAACCACGCCUGUCAGCCAGUUAUGGCUUUGGCUCUGAGAGCCCCCCUGACCAACUUAACCAAUGCUUUUUUUCUGUAAGAAAUUGCCACUUACUGUUGGUUUCUGUCCGACCCGGUGAGAUACUUGAGGCUUCCCCUACCUGUGCACACAACGAAAUGAAGACAAUAAAAAGCCAGAGUUUGCUCUU